rnacentral:sRNA from 1 species
GCCAGGCAUGGCGGUGCAUGCCUGUAGUCCCAGCUACUCAGGAGGCUGAGGCAGGAGAAUCACUUGAACCCAGGAGGCAGAGGCUGUAGUGAGCUGAGAUUGUACCACUGCACUCCAGCCUGGGUGACAGAGUGAGACUCUGUCUCAA